rnacentral:rRNA from 1 species
GAUUAGUGGCGAACGGCUGUCUAACACGAGAGUAACCUGCCGUUAUCUCUGGCAUAAGCCUGGAAAACUGCGCCUAGUACCGGAUAUUAGCGUCCGCCGCAUGCCCGGGAGUUGGAAAGAUUUAUCGAGUUUUGGAUGGACUCGCGGUUCUAUCAGCUUGUUGGCGAGGUAAUGGCUCAACAAGGCGACAACAGGUAGUCGGCCUGAGAGGGUGACCGGGCACACUGGGACUGACACACGGCCCAGACUCCUACGGGAGGCAGCAGAGGGGAAUAUUGCACAAUGGGCGCCAGCCUGAUGCAGCGACGCCGCGUGAGGGAUGACGGCCUUCGGGUUGAGAAACCUCUUUCGGUAGGGAAGAAGCGAAAGUGACGGUACCUGCAGAAGAAGCACGGGCUAACUACGUGCCAUCAGCCGCGGUAAUACGUAGGGGGCGAGCGUCAUCCGGAAUUAUUGGUCGUAAAGAGCUCGUAGGCGGUUUGUCGCGUCUGUCGCGAAAGUCCGGGGCUUAACCCCGGAUCUGCGGUGGGAACGGGCAGACUAGAGUGGAGUASGGGAGACUGGAAUUCCUGGUGUAGCGGUGGAAUGCGCAGAUAUCAGGAGGAACACCGAUGGCGAAGGCAGGUCUCUGGGCUGUAACUGACGCUGAGGAGCGAAAGCAUGGGGAGCGAACAGGAUUAGAUACCCUGGUAGUCCAUGCCGUAAACGUUGGGCACUAGGUGUGGGGACCAUUCCACGGUUUCCGCGCCGCAGCUAACGCAUUAAGUGCCCCGCCUGGGGAGUACGGCCGCAAGGCUAAAACUCAAAGGAAUUGACGGGGGCCCGCACAAGCGGCGGAGCAUGCGGAUUAAUUCGAUGCAACGCGAAGAACCUUACCAAGGCUUGACAUGUUCUCGAUCGCCGUAGAGAUACGGUUUCCCCUUUGGGGCGGGUUCACAGGUGGUGCAUGGUUGUCGUCAGCUCGUGUCGUGAGAUGUUGGGUUAAGUCCCGCAACGAGCGCAACCCUCGUUCCAUGUUGUCAGCACGUAAUGGUGGGGACUCAUGGGAGACUGCCGGGGUCAACUCGGAGGAAGGUGAGGACGACGUCAAAUCAUCAUGCCCCUUAUGUCUUGGGCUUCACGCAUGCUACAAUGGCCGGUACAAUGGGUUGCGAUACUGUGAGGUGGAGCUAAUCCCAAAAAGCCGGUCUCAGUUCGGAUUGGGGUCUGCAACUCGACCCCAUGAAGUCGGAGUCGCU